UGAAAUACCUCUACGAUUAAGAGCAGCCCUUGUUGGAAGUCUAUUUAACAGUAACCGCCACCCGAAAAUUUUAAUCUUAGAUGGAAUAUCCGUUCUCCACAACCUUUGAAUGGAAUCCAACACUUUAGCAUCCAAGCUGUCAACCUGUUUUAAAGAUAAUAAACAAGAAUAACAAGAUUUAACUGAAAACAGUCCAUUAACAUCCAGUAACCAUCACCAUUGAUCUGAAUUGGAAAGUUGGAGAGAAAAACCAGCAAAAAAUCCUUGUAAAUCUAAAAUACGCUGCUCAUCAGUCGCGUCUAAUGGAGCAAGCCAACUCCACCUCCAUCUUUGCCUCGAUAAAGCACCUCCCAAACACUCAGAAACUUUAGCUUGUUUAAAAGUCUCAUUUGCAUACAAAUCAGGAUAUAAAUCGCGCAAAGCAUGACUCCCAAACCAUUUGAAAUUCCAAAACUCAAUAUCAUUACCGUUACCAACACGACAACUAACGUUGGACCUGAACCAAUCGUCAUUGAGGCCGCGACCUGGACUGAUAACAUCUCGC
rnacentral:lncRNA from 1 species